ACUGAACGCUGGCGGCAGGCCUAACACAUGCAAGUCGAGCGGAUGAGGAAAGCUUGCUUUUCGAUUCAGCGGCGGACGGGUGAGUAAUGCCUAGGAAUCUGCCUGUUAGUGGGGGAUAACUCGGGGAAACUCGGGCUAAUACCGCAUACGUCCUACGAGAGAAAGUGAGGGAUCUUCGGACCUCACGCUAACAGAUGAGCCUAGGUCGGAUUAGCUAGUAGGUGAGGUAAUGGCUCACCUAGGCGACGAUCCGUAACUGGUCUGAGAGGAUGAUCAGUCACACUGGAACUGAGACACGGUCCAGACUCCUACGGGAGGCAGCAGUGGGGAAUAUUGGACAAUGGGCGAAAGCCUGAUCCAGCCAUGCCGCGUGUGUGAAGAAGGUCUUCGGAUUGUAAAGCACUUUAAGUUGGGAGGAAGGGUAUUCACCUAAUACGUGGGUACUUUGACGUUACCAACAGAAUAAGCACCGGCUAACUCUGUGCCAGCCGCCGCUGUAAUAC
rnacentral:rRNA from 1 species